UAUAAAAUUGUUUUUUCAUACUUCUUAAUAGAGAUUAGAAAACUAAAAUAAUGAGUUUUUAUAUGUAUCAAAUACAUUAAUUUUCUAUAUAUCGAUACAUAUACAUUGUUUGCCGGCUAUGUCAUUCAAUAUUUCUUCAUUUCUUUUUAACAAAGAUUAGAAAACUGCAAAUACGCUUCAGCAUAUUUCAUCAUUUUAUCAUUUUUAAAAUUAUAUAUAAAUUGAAUAUAGAGAUUGAACAAUAAAGAUGCUAAAAAAGAAUAUAAUCUAUAAAUAUUCUGUAUGCUGUUUUUCUCCUUCAAUUUGAUCUUUUUUUUUUUUUUCUUUUAUUUACCUAAUAUUGUUUUUUUCUUUAUUUUGAUGGAUGUAUCCAAACAUUUUGAAUACUUUGAAAGAAUUGCUUUCAUAUAUAUCAUACUUCAAACAUUUUAAAUAAUAUGGAAGAAUUCUUUUCAUUAUUGACAAUUUUCUGCAGUAUAAGCCAUAAGAUUAAAUUGAUUGAAAUUUCACUUUCUAAAUUUUUAAUUUUAGUGCCAAAAUAUUUCUAAAAAAUCAAAUGAUUAUUUUAAUGGAAUUAAUUUAGCUUUUGUAUUGUUUAAUUCAUCCAUGUGGAUGCUUUCUAAGAUACUUGCAAUCUUAUCGAAGGAAUGUAUUCCUAUAAAACAACAAAUAAAAACAGAUUUCCUUUCAAAUUUGCAGAAAUAAAAUGCGUGGUUAUAUUGAAACAAUUUCUGCGCCUUUUUGACCAAAUAUCAAUAUCAUGUCUCCAUAAAUGGCGCAUAUUUAGACCUUCAAGAUCUAUAAGUAAACACCAUUGAGAAACUGGAUGACCAGAAACAGCAGUUGCUUCUUCCAUUAGAACUAAUCCUUCUUCACAAAUAUGUAAUACCUAUAAUAAUGAACAUUAUAAGAAACUAUAUAAUAUAAAUAUAAUUUUAUCAUACAAGA